rnacentral:rRNA from 1 species
ACAAUGGGCGCAAGCCUGAUCCAGCCAUGCCGCGUGAGUGAUGAAGGCCUUAGGGUCGUAAAGCUCUUUCGCCAGAGAUGAUAAUGACAGUAUCUGGUAAAGAAACCCCGGCUAACUCCGUGCCAGCAGCCGCGGUAAUACGGAGGGGGUUAGCGUUGUUCGGAAUUACUGGGCGUAAAGCGCGCGUAGGCGGAUUAGUAAGUUAGAGGUGAAAUCCCGGGGCUCAACCCCGGAACUGCCUUUAAUACUGCUAGUCUUGAGUUCCAGAGAGGUGAGUGGAAUUCCGAGUGUAGAGGUGGAAUUCGUAUAUAUUCGGAGGAACACCAGUGGCGAAGGCGGCUCACUGGCUCGAUACUGACGCUGAGGUGCGAAAGUGUGGGGAGCAAACAGGAUUAGAUACCCUGGUAGUCCACACCGUAAACGAUGAAUGCCAGUCGUCGUGUAGCAUGCU